UACGUAGGGUGCGAGCGUUGUCCGGAAUUAUUGGGCGUAAAGAGCUCGUAGGCGGUUUGUCGCGUCGACUGUGAAAACCUGGGGCUCAACUCUGGGCCUGCAGUCGAUACGGGCAGACUUGAGUUCGGUAGGGGAGACUGGAAUUCCUGGUGUAGCGGUGAAAUGCGCAGAUAUCAGGAGGAACACCGGUGGCGAAGGCGGGUCUCUGGGCCGAUACUGACGCUGAGGAGCGAAAGCGUGGGGAGCGAACAGG
rnacentral:rRNA from 1 species